GCAGCUGCUACGCGGUCCUCUGGGUGAUCAGUACCAGACGGUGAAGGCCCUAGCUGAGCGCAAGGCCCAAGGUGUGCUGGCUGCACAGGCAAGGGCAGAACAACUGCGGGAUGAGGCUCGGGACCUGUUGCAAGCCGCUCAGGACAAGCUGCAGCGGCUACAGGAAUUGGAAGGCACCUAUGAGGAAAAUGAGCGGGCACUGGAGAGUAAGGCAGCCCAGUUGGACGGGUUGGAGGCCAGGAUGCGCAGCGUGCUUCAAGCCAUCAACUUGCAGGUGCAGAUCUACAACACCUGCCAGUGACCCCUGCCCAAGGCCUACCCCAGUUCCUAGCACUGCCCCACAUGCAUGUCUGCCUAUGCACUGAAGAGCUCUUGGCCCGGCAGGGCCCCCAAUAAACCAGUGUGAACCCCC
rnacentral:lncRNA from 1 species